rnacentral:rRNA from 1 species
GUUUGAUCCUGGCUCAGAUUGAACGCUGGCGGCAUGCCUUACACAUGCAAGUCGAACGGUAACAGGGGGCUUGCUCCGCUGGCGAGUGGCGAACGGGUGAGUAAUGUAUCGGAACGUACCAUUCAGUGGGGGAUAACGUAGCGAAAGUUACGCUAAUACCGCAUAUUCUGUGAGCAGGAAAGCAGGGGAUCGCAAGACCUUGCGCUGAUUGAGCGGCCGAUAUCAGAUUAGCUAGUUGGUGAGGUAAAAGCUCACCAAGGCGACGAUCUGUAGCGGGUCUGAGAGGAUGAUCCGCCACACUGGAACUGAGACACGGUCCAGACUCCUACGGGAGGCAGCAGUGGGGAAUUUUGGACAAUGGGGGCAACCCUGAUCCAGCCAUGCCGCGUGAGUGAAGAAGGCCUUCGGGUUGUAAAGCUCUUUCAGCCGGGAAGAAAAUGCAUGGGUUAAUACCCUGUGCAGAUGACGGUACCGGAAUAAGAAGCACCGGCUAACUACGUGCCAGCAGCCGCGGUAAUACGUAGGGUGCGAGCGUUAAUCGGAAUUACUGGGCGUAAAGCGUGCGCAGGCGGUUUUGUAAGACAGGCGUGAAAUCCCCGGGCUUAACCUGGGAACUGCGUUUGUGACUGCAAGGCUAGAGUACGGCAGAGGGGGGUGGAAUUCCACGUGUAGCAGUGAAAUGCGUAGAGAUGUGGAGGAACACCAAUGGCGAAGGCAGCCCCCUGGGUCGAUACUGACGCUCAUGCACGAAAGCGUGGGUAGCAAACAGGAUUAGAUACCCUGGUAGUCCACGCCCUAAACGAUGUCAACUAGGUGUUGGGAGGGUAAAACCUUUUAGUACCGUAGCUAACGCGAGAAGUUGACCGCCUGGGGAGUACGGCCGCAAGGUUAAAACUCAAAGGAAUUGACGGGGACCCGCACAAGCGGUGGAUGAUGUGGAUUAAUUCGAUGCAACGCGAAAAACCUUACCUACCCUUGACAUGUCAGGAACUUUCCAGAGAUGGAUUGGUGCCCGAAAGGGAACCUGAACACAGGUGCUGCAUGGCUGUCGUCAGCUCGUGUCGUGAGAUGUUGGGUUAAGUCCCGCAACGAGCGCAACCCUUGUCGUUAAUUGCCAUCAUUUAGUUGAGCACUUUAACGAGACUGCCGGUGACAAACCGGAGGAAGGUGGGGAUGACGUCAAGUCCUCAUGGCCCUUAUGGGUAGGGCUUCAC